GAUGAAGAACGUAGCGAAAUGCGAUAAGUAAUGUGAAUUGCAGAAUUCAGUGAAUCUUGGAAUCUUUGAACGCACAUUGCGCCCAUUAGUAUUCUAGUGGGCAUGCCUGUUCGAGCGUCAUUAAGUCCACUUAAGCCCUGCUUAGUGUUGGGAGACUGCUCCAGCGGUGCUACCCUGUAGCUACCCUGCAGCUCCUCAAAGACAGCGGCGGAGUUGUGGUAUCCUCUGAGCUUAGUAACUUGUUCUAGCUUUCGAGUACACCACUUCCCCUGCCGUAAAACCCUUAAUUUUUAAUGGUUGACCUCGGAUCAGGUAGGAAUACCCGCUGAACUUAAGCAUAUCAAUAAGCGGAGGA
rnacentral:misc_RNA from 1 species